rnacentral:lncRNA from 1 species
AAGCGCCCGUCUCCCAGCCCUGGUCCAUGCCUGGGACCAGAAGUGCAGAGAGCCGCUGUUCUCGCUCCCUCCCGUCAAACACUUGCCCCACAAGGUGGCGCCGGAGGGUCUGGACCACCGAGGGCCAUGCGGGCCUUGGCCUUGGUCCUGAAGCCGUAGUUUUGCUUGGUCCAGCUCCUCAGUGUCUGUCCUGCAGCUGGACGGGGCGCCUUCAGGGGCCUUGGCUCCAGUGGAAGCUGCGCUGGACGAGUUGCAGAGGAGGAUCUACCGCUUGGUGUUGGAGGCGCUGCAGGCGGAGCUCCAGCCCCUGUUCGCGGAUCUGCCCUCGCGCCAAUGGCUGUCGAGCCCUGAGCUCCUGCAAAGUGUGUGUGAACGGACGGGGCGCUUCUGCCGGGACUUCUGGCGCGUGCGGAACCCCACGGUUCAGCUGCUGCUGGCUGAGGCCGAGCGUGCCGUGGUGCUCCAGUACCUGAGCGCGCUGAUGCAAGGCCGCCUGGUGUGCCGCGGAGCCGACGAGAGGACCCAGGCGGCCGAGCGCCUGCGGCACGAUGCUGCCCAGCUUCAGCAGCUUUUCCUCAGUUUGCGAGGACCACGUCUCCGCCCUCUUGGGCCUGCGCGGGGACUUGUCCCGGGAGCAGCACCUGGCCGCGCUCAGCUCCCUGCAGGCUGCGCUGCCGCCGUCGCCCCGCGCGAGCCGCCGCGUCCUCUUCAGCCUAGUGCCCGCGCCCGCGCUCGCGCCGGCCUCCUGCCUGCCCUCGGGGUCCUGCGCCCGAGCCCUGCUGCUCGCAGAAUAAACCACGGCUGCCG